rnacentral:lncRNA from 1 species
CAGGUGAGCCCUGGCUGCGCGCGCGGCCCCUCCUCCCCGGCGCCUCCCAGAUGGGCAGCAGGAGGCUCCGGAGGUGGCGCCCAGGCUCUGAGCUACCCUAGGACUGCAGACUAGCGGGCAUUGGCCAGAGACAUGGCCCAGCCACUGGCCUUCAUCCUCGAUGUCCCUGAGACCCCAGGGGACCAGGGCCAGGACCUCAGCCCCUAUGAUGAAAGCGAAGUGCACGACUCCUUCCAGCAGCUCAUCCAGGAGCAGAGCCAGUGCACGGCCCAGGAGGGGCUGGAGCUGCAGCAGAGAGAGCGAGAGGUGACAGG